CUAGUUGGUGCGGUAACGGCGUACCAAGGCGACGACGGCUAGGAGGCCUGAGAGGGUGACCUCCCACACUGGAACUGAGACACGGUCCAGACUCCUACGGGAGGCAGCAGUGAGGAAUAUUGCACAAUGGGCGCAAGCCUGAUGCAGCGACGCCGCGUGAGUGAUGAAGGCCUUCGGGUCGUAAAGCUCUUUUCUAGGUGACGAGAAUGGACGGUAGCCUAGGAAUAAGUGUCGGCUAACUACGUGCCAGCAGCCGCGGUAAAACGUAGGACACAAGCGUUAUCCGGAGUUACUGGGCGUAAAGGGCGUGUAGGCGGACAUGUAAGUCUACUCUGAAAGCUUCUGGCUAAACUGGAAGAGGCGAGUGGAGACUGCAAGUCUAGAGUGAGGAAGAGGAAAGUGGAAUUCCGCGUGUAGUGGUGAAAUGCGUAGAGAUGCGGAGGAACACCAGUGGCGAAAGCGGCUUUCUGGUCCUUAACUGACGCUGAGGCGCGAAAGCAUGGGGAGCGAACGGGAUUAGAAACCCCGGUAGUCCAUGCCGUAAACGAUGUUCACUAAACGUUCGUUUCCCGCGAGGGAAGCGGGUGUUGAAGCUAACGCAGUAAGUGAACCGCCUGGGGAGUACGGUCGCAAGGCUAAAACUCAAAGGAAUUGACGGGGGACCGCACAAGCAGCGGAGCGUGUGGUUUAAUUCGAGCCUACGCGAAGAACCUUACCUAGGUUUGACAUCGCACUGAAGACUGUGUGAAAGCAUGGUUGUCCCGCAAGGGACAGUGUGACAGGUGCUGCAUGGCUGUCGUCAGCUCGUGCCGUGAGGUGUUCGGUUAAGUCCGCAAACGAGCGCAACCCUCGGUGCCAGUUACAAGUGUCUGGCGCGACUGCCCGUGGCAAACGGGAGGAAGGUGGGGAUGACGUCAAGUCAGCAUGGCCUUUAUAUCUAGGGCUACACACACGCUACAAUGGCGCGUACAAUGGGUCGCGAACCUGCGAAGGGGAGCCAAUCCUAAAAAGCGCGUCUCAGUUCAGAUUGCAGGCUGCAACCCGCCUGCAUGAAGUUGGAGUUGCUAGUAACCGCGCGUCAGCAGAGUGCGGUGAAUACGUUCCCGGUCCUUGUACACACCGCCCGUCACGUCAUGAGAGCUGGUGACGCCUGAAGUCGGGAAGCUAACCGCAAGGGGGCUACUGCCGAGGGCAGCACUGGUGAUUGGGACGAAGUCGUAACAAGGUAGCUGUAGCGGAAGCUGCGGCUG
rnacentral:rRNA from 1 species